UCGUCACACUAUCAUUAACUGAAUCCAUAGGUUAAUGAGGCGAACCGGGGGAACUGAAACAUCUAAGUACCCCGAGGAAAAGAAAUCAACCGAGAUUCCCCCAGUAGCGGCGAGCGAACGGGGAGGAGCCCAGAGCCUGAAUCAGCAUGUGUGUUAGUGGAAGCGUCUGGAAAGGCGCGCGAUACAGGGUGACAGCCCCGUACACAAAAGCGCAUGUGCUGUGAGCUCGAUGAGUAGGGCGGGACACGUGGUAUCCUGUCUGAAUAUGGGGGGACCAUCCUCCAAGGCUAAAUACUCCUGACUGACCGAUAGUGAACCAGUACCGUGAGGGAAAGGCGAAAAGAACCCCGGCGAGGGGAGUGAAAAAGAACCUGAAACCGUGUACGUACAAGCAGUGGGAGCACAGGUUUACCUGUGUGACUGCGUACCUUUUGUAUAAUGGGUCAGCGACUUAUAUUCUGUAGCAAGGUUAACCGAAUAGGGGAGCCGGAGGGAAACCGAGUCUUAAUUGGGCGUUAAGUUGCAGGGUAUAGACCCGAAACCCGGUGAUCUAGCCAUGGGCAGGUUGAAGGUUGGGUAACACUAACUGGAGGACCGAACCGACUAAUGUUGAAAAAUUAGCGGAUGACCUGUGGCUGGGGGUGAAAGGCCAAUCAAACCGGGAGAUAGCUGGUUCUCCCCGAAAGCUAUUUAGGUAGCGCCUCGUGAAUUCAUCUCCGGGGGUAGAGCACUGUUUCGGCUAGGGGGCCAUCCCGGCUUACCAACCCGAUGCAAACUGCGAAUACCGGAGAAUGUUAUCACGGGAGACACACGGCGGGUGCUAACGUCCGUCGUGAAGAGGGAAACAACCCAGACCGCCAGCUAAGGUCCCAAAGUCAUGGUUAAGUGGGAAACGAUGUGGGAAGGCCCAGACAGCCAGGAUGUUGGCUUAGAAGCAGCCAUCAUUUAAAGAAAGCGUAAUAGCUCACUGGUCGAGUCGGCCUGCGCGGAAGAUGUAACGGGGCUAAACCAUGCACCGAAGCUGCGGCAGCGACACUGUGUGUUGUUGGGUAGGGGAGCGUUCUGUAAGCCUGUGAAGGUGU
rnacentral:rRNA from 1 species